AUCGAUUAUCUUGUUAAAUUCUAUUUAAAUAUAAUAAAUGACUUGGUUAUUUAUCCAUUUGAUUCUAUUCGAAGCCGGAAAAUUUUAAGCUCAAGGCCUUAAAUAGCAUGAGAAUCACCGUGCAGCCCAACUCCAUUAGUCGCGGCACCCCCCUCCCCGCUCUGACCUCCGUCGACGAUGUCGCGGCCGUCGAUUCCUCAAGCAACAGCAGAUGCUAUCAUGGCAAGUCUACUAUAUCUUGCAAUGCUGUGAGGUGUUAUCUAUAACAUGGUGUGACGUUGCUUCGAAGAGUAAUUGCUAUGCAGCAUCAUGUUGACUUUUUGGCUUUUUAAUUACUUGAAGAAGAAGAAGAAGAAGAAGAAGAAGAAGCAUCUUUUCUAUUUAGGAUAAUCCGGGAACUUGGUAUAGUGAAUUGAAUCCUUGCACCAGUACCCAAUUAUUAUGUGCUGGUCCUGUUUUUAUAUAGUUAGAAGUUUAGGACAGGCUGGUAAUUAAUAAAAUUAGGUUUCAUCACAUGAUGAUGUACUGGGAUUUUUUCUGUUCUCUAUCUAGAAUUGGUUACUGUGUGUGUAUUGGGCCAUGCUUGGUUUAGAAUAAUAUGGAAAGCUACUCUUGUACUUAAUUUUCAUUGUUGAGUGUGGUUGAGGUGUUACAAUCUCAUAGGUUUGUGCUUGCUCAAUUAAUGGAAGUCAACUAUUUUGAAUGUCA